AACGAACGCUGGCGGCGUGCCUAACACAUGCAAGUCGUGCGAGAAAAGUUCCUUCGGGAGCGAGUAAAGCGGCGCACGGGUGAGUAACACGUAGGUAACCUGCCCCCCAGUCUGGAACAACUAGAGGAAACUCUAGCUAAUGCCGGAUAAGACCACGGCCCCCUCGGGGGCUGCGGCCAAAGAUGGCCUCUACUUGUACGCUAUCGCUGAGGGAUGGGCCUGCGGGCCAUUAGCUUGUUGGUGAGGUAACGGCUCACCAAGGCUGUGAUGGCUAGCUGGUCUGAGAGGAUGACCAGCCACACUGGGACUGAGACACGGCCCAGACUCCUACGGAGGCAGCAGUGGGGAAUAUUGCGCAAUGGGCGAAAGCCUGACGCAGCGACGCCGCGUGGGUGAUGAAGGCCUCGGUCGUAAGACCCU
rnacentral:rRNA from 1 species